AGAUCUUUCAGGCAGUCCACAAUUGUGCUUCUAUGUCUCUGUACUGCAUUAUGGUCUGUCUGCACAGUUUUCAACAAUGAUGUCAAAGCCACAUAUCUAAUAUUUUUGUCAUUGUUUAAUAAGAAACGGCCUAGGAUGUUAAUGGCUAACACUCUCAGUCCACUCUCAGAUUUUAUGUCCAUAAUAGUCAGCACAGUUUCA
rnacentral:lncRNA from 1 species